rnacentral:lncRNA from 1 species
CUCGCUGUGUGAGCAUGAAUUAACCAGGAAUGUUCGAGAAUUAUUCCUGAAUAAUUCAUGAACCUGAAUUAAUCAUGCAUUUUCAUGAAUUAUUCAUGAAUAACUCAUGGAAAUGCAAGGUUUAUUCAUGCUCCAAAAAACCCAAGGCUUUUUCUCUUCUCUUCUGCUCUCUCUCCCUUGGGGACAGCAGGUGGGAGCUUUCCAAGCCAGACAAAGGAGACCUGACAAGGAACUGUGGUGAAGGGACAAGCCCAAGGCAAGGAAGUGUCCGGUCGCCUCCUCUCCUGGAACAGGCAGCAGAGACCUGGAGAGACAGGAGACAUCUUGCAAGACUCAACACCUGGAGCAGUGCUAACCAGGUGGGCAGCUCUGAUGUCAGCCAAGCUCUACGUGCUCAUCAGCUGGCCCGACGGCAGCCGGGUCAUCAACAUGGAGAACAUCAAGGAGCCCCGCAAGCCCUUCCACCUCUACACGGUGGGGGAGCAGGUCCUGGCCCGCUGCCCCGGCUUCAGUGGGCUGUACUGGGGUGUGGUGGAAGGCAUAAGUGAGCACAAAGAUAUUUUGGAGAAGAAGCUGCUGGAAGAUCGGCAGCUCCUGGAGAAGUUAAAAGAGGAACCAGCUGUCCACAACAUGAUGCCAUCCCCACCAAAAAAAUCCAGGAAAACCUUUCCAAAAUGGACCCCAGGGAAUGCAUCCAGGAAAUACCCCAGUGACAAGACCUAUCCUGCAAAGCCACUGCUGAGGGUGGCUGAGGCCAGCCUGCCUCUUGAUGCUGGCAGCUCCUCUGUCCUCAAGGACAGACGUGUCCUGGGAAGUGUGGCAGGAAGCCCUCGCCUGCUGGCAACUCCCUCCCAGCCAGCCAGUGCCUUCACACCUCCAUCCACCUUCAUCACCAUGGCCCUGCCAGGGCAAGGAGCUUCCCAGACUGAAGAGGACAGGGCUGGUCUGGGUGCCAGAGAUUAUGUUGCCCUUCCAAUGAAGAGAAAGUCAGAUGGCAUCUUGUCCCCAUGCCAGCAGCAGAUCUGUCUGAAAAGCCGUGAAGAGCGAAAGAUUGAUGCCUUGCAAGAGACCGAUGGCUUUGAGAGGGUUCACAGAAAUUUUGGUCCUGUUGAGAUGGAAAGGGCAGAGAAGAUAGAGCAGCUGGAGAGGAUGGUGUUGGACCUCCAACAGGAUGUCCUCUCUCUGAAGAAGAAGGUGCAGAGGCUGGAAUCCCUGUCCUUCCAGGAGGAGCCCCACCGACAGCCGUGUGAGGUGGUGGAGCUCUUCAAUGGCUACACCAAGGAGCAGCUCAAAGAGACCAUCAGGUUUGACCAGAAAAUCAGCACAGCCUGCAAGACCCUGCUCUACAAACUCUUCACCUCUGACUACAUCCAGAGCCACUCCAUCACGGGGCGCAGGGGCAACACUUUCCGGGAGGCGAAGCCAAUGAUGGACGAACGCUGCAUCAAAAUCAUCAGGGUGCUGCUGAAGCAGAAGUUUGGGGAUCACCUCAGUGACACUGUGAUCACAGAGAAGAUCCAGAAUGUGCAGAAAGCCCUGAGGCAGAAGUUUAAGACAGAAUGUCUCUGAGGUGUGGGGGAUUUGGUGUCUCCUCCUGCCAUUCCUGUGUGUGUCCCUGAGCAGCCUUCCCAAGAAAGAUGAGCUGAGCAGCUGCUGCUCAGUAGAUUUCCCCCAAGGAGCCUACUCAAGUGAACCAUGUGCUAGACACAGCUCAAACACUGCCAAACCUCUGCCUGCAUUAACUGAGCAGGAAUCUGGCCUAACUUGGCUCAGUUUUUGCACUCUACAAGUUCCUUCACAUCCAGUCUGUGUGAAAACCUCACUGUGGGUGUUUGGAAUCACCUCCAUGGAAUCACCUCCGUGACUCUGAUGAUGUGCUCAAAGGCUUCAGGGCUCCAUUUGAGUCCAAGAAUGGGUCAGGAAGGUAGCCCUGUUCUGCACUGCAGAAAUGUUGGCUUUGGGAUGGGGAAUCCAGCUGCACACAGUCUGUCACCCAGUGUGGCUUCUCUCUCUCUGCCUCUGGUUGCCUCCUUCUGCCUGUGGGACAAUAUUUACUCUUUUCUCACAUUGAAUGUUUUAUUUUCAGCAGUAACAGAAAGGCAGACUCAUUAAAAUGACACCUUAAAACAUUCAGAAAAAGAUAAGUUGAUUUUUUCCCGUCUGUUUUAAUGUAGCCAUAUGGAAGAGUUUUCUUCCCUAACAAAAGCCUGCUGAACAAGAGAAGGGGUCACCCAUGGAAGUUACAUUAAUUUUCCUUUUGAGAUUAUUUCCAUACAGGAGAAAUCCCUUACAUUUUUUUGACAUAAGAGUGAGGGAUGGAGGACAAAAUAUGGCCCAACUUUGCUUCAAAGAUAUAAAUGUUGUGGACACUGUCACCAUUAUUUAAAUACAGCAUUAUUGUCCUAGAUAAGAAAUACCAAGUACAGCCAGACACUUUGCUGAGGGACUAUAGAGAAGGUCUAGAAAGAUACAUCUUCUCCUAAAUAAUUCAGAGCUGGAGUGUGGGUGGGUUAAAAUUGUUCUAAGCAUUAAAAGAAUGAGAUGCUGACACCAGUCCAGCACUUAACAG